rnacentral:lncRNA from 1 species
GGAGAACAGGGGGAAGAGAGAGAUUCAAGUCUUCCUAAUGUCUACCUUAUAUGCAGAGCCUUGGAAAGAUGGGCAAAUGCUCUGUGACAAGCCACCAGGGUAGACUGGUACUGAAAAGACCCUACUACACACAGGGGCUCUGUCCCUGGCUGGAAAGUUACAAGUCAGCCUACCUCUCUGUGAUCUGGUUUCCACACCUACUACUCCUUAUCCCAUGAGGAGCUUCUGGAAACUAAAAAAGGUACGUAAUCAAAACCAAAAGAAGACAUUGGUUCAAGGAUCCUCAAGAGCUCAGCAUCAUGUUUCUGUUGUUUCUUUUUGAAUAGACAAAAUUCUCAGAGUGUUCAGUAGCUACACACACACACACACACAAACACACACACCCCACACACAAAAGUAGCAUCUCCACAAUGUUGCAUGCAUCAGGAAAGCAAAUGUUUUUACCGCAGGCUGGGCUAUGCCUCAUCCUCUUAAACUAGCAUCUUGAGGUCUUUGCAGAAGCCAUUUUAUAGAUG